CUGAACCGUGAGCUCGUUUCUCCUCACUAGGUAAGGUUGUAGGUUGUCUGACAGCACUCCUUUUCCACGAGUGACCAUGUCCAGGACCUCAGACAUCCCUGGAUCAGUGUGGGUGAACUUUUUCACUUGGACAGAAGUAACUGGGGCGUUCGUCACUUCCUUGAAGUAGAAGAUUUCAGCCUGGGAGCUCAGUGUGUGUGACAGGUAAGGGAAGCCUUGAGAGGCCAUCUGCAUUGCAGUGCUGCUCAGACCUUCUGUACUUGAUAUUGUACUGGUGAGCAGAUAAUAAUAAUGCCCAUCGCUGCAUACAGCUGGCUGCAAGCAACGGAAUGUCGGUGUGGGGACCAAAGAUGGAGGUGAGGUGUUUAUGGUCCGUCAGCAGUGUGAAUCGUCGGCCAAACAGAAACGGAUGAAAUUUCUUAACUCCAAACACAAUGGAUGGCCACCCUGCUCAGCAAGUUCAGGAUAGACUUUUCCGACAUCAACGUACUCGGAGACAUCAACACUAGGCCCAAGAAAGAGAAAAGUCCAGUUGGAUCCUCUCUCCUCCCUUCGUAAGCUGAUGGCUGCGAUAAACAUUCAUUGCUGUCGGUGGGUUUGAUGUGAAUAUAACUCACUGAUCAAUGAAUGAACACUGCGGUUCAAACACCUCGAGGACCAAUCAAUGAAGAGGACUCUAGCGGGAGGUUCAAUGUAUAGCCAAUCAGGGACAGAGGAGUAUUAACCACACUGAUUCGUGAGCUUAUGUCAAGGGUUUGCUACUUAAAAUACAGGCCUACUCUAAAUCCCUACAUAACCUUGUUCUUAAGGGGCUCCUUUUAAACUACAAUGAAUUAGUUAGACUCCGGUACUAUGUCCAUUGAAACAGAGAUCAAAUGGCCCCUUAAUUUGAUCUAUUUGUAGGAUAGAAAACUGUUCAGUAGUUUAUUUUGCACAGAAUGAAUUGACAGAUAUUGAAUUUGGCCUGUCUAAAAUAUUGGUGCCUCUGUAGUUGAAUAUGAGUGUACCAAUAUCCCGGGCCAAUAUUUGAUGCAAUAUUUAAUUGAGCAUCC